GACGAACGCUGGCGGCGUGCUUAACACAUGCAAGUCGAACGGAAAGGCCCUGCUUGCAGGGUGCUCGAGUGGCGAACGGGUGAGUAACACGUGGGUGAUCUGCCCCUUACUUUGGGAUAAGCCUGGGAAACUGGGUCUAAUACUGGAUAGGACCAUGCUGUAGGUGGUGUGGUGGAAAGAUUAGUUUCGGUAAGGGAUGAGCUCGCGGCCUAUCAGCUUGUUGGUGGGGUAAUGGCCUACCAAGGCGUCGACGGGUAGCCGGCCUGAGAGGGUGGACGGCCACAUUGGGACUGAGAUACGGCCCAGACUCCUACGGGAGGCAGCAGUGGGGAAUAUUGCACAAUGGGCGCAAGCCUGAUGCAGCGACGCCGCGCGGGGGAUGACGGCCUUCGGGUUGUAAACUCCUUUCAGCCAUGACGAAGCCCUUGUGGUGACGGUAGUGGUAGAAGAAGCACCGGCUAACUACGUG
rnacentral:rRNA from 1 species